CAACUCUAUGGUCAACUUUAACUAAAAGUUGCACUGAAAGACCUAGAGAUUCCUAAAGAGAAUAACUAGGCAUUUGUAGCUCCUCCAGUGCCGUUCUAUGGUCAAUGUCUGUUGGACGAUGAUCACAGAGCUGUACUGGAAGACCUAGAGAUUCCUAGAGAGGUGUCCUCUCAAGUAAAAACAUGGUGUUUUUGUUAUUUGCAGUUUUCCCAUAUUCAUGGGGUGCUUGUGCCUCUGACCCUAGUGAAUAUGGAGGGACAAGUGUAGAGAGGGCUCUCAGUCUGAGGUACGAUGUUCAGCUUUCUUGUUCAAAUUAUUCUAAAACUGGGAAUUCUGUCCCAAGGGAAGAUCUCAGUUGUUCAUGACACCAUUAUAAUAACCUCCUUUUAAGACAAUGAUACUCUGGAGGAUGCAAGGUGCCUUUAUCAAGAACAUCAAAAUAGUUGUUUCACUUACCAUUGGUCUCUGACUUUUUCCCUGUUGCUGUUACCUAUAUCAUAAAGAAGAAAAAGCUACAGAUAUAAUAUAUAUGUAAAACCUACAAUAACAUCAAAUCUUAGCUUACUUGAUAAGACAGUAUCCAGAAUAAAAUAAUGAGCUGAAUUAUACAUCUGAGUUCACAGAAGUGGUCCCAUAUGAACAUUACCUUUGUGGGAGAAGAGACCUUUUCAACUGAUUGCUUCUCCCAGAGGUUGCGUUUGCCGGACACAUCUCCAGGUCUUAAAUCCUAUUUGAUAUGAAAAGCCAAAAGCAAGAAGGAUGUAAAAAAGAAAGUGACAAGAUCUGUAUCCUUUACAUACCUUAAUAUAUCCAUAGUGGCUUGACCCAUUUUAAAAGACUUGCAUGAAUGGGUAGUGUGGUUUUGGACUGGGGUGGUAGAGUCAGCUUAGUAAAGUAGCUCAUAAACAGAUUUACCUGACUAUAAUAGAAAACAGCCAGUCCCAGAGAAGAACAGAAGAGCAGGUAUCUUUACAGGAUUCCAGACAAGAAGGCAAUGAUGAAAGAGAAGAGAGCAAGCAACUGAGAAAUGGAGGAUGAUUAGAAGAAAGGACAGCAGUACAGUAUCUGAACACACUGAGAGCCUCCACCAAGAAAACAGUCAAAUUACACAAGAUUUUUCAUACUUCUUGUGAACAUUUUCCACAAAUUUUCAUAUAAAGGUGAAAAUGAACAUACCUUCCCAUUCUGUGUCAAAAAAUAAAAAAGAAGUAUUUUUUGUGUAAAACUAACAUUUUUGAACCUUCUGAAGGAAAAUGUUGGGUUCAGAAAAAAGAUGUAUUUUUGCACUUUUUUGUGCAUACUAUCUUUUAAAAAAAAGUUCUGAUUUGAAAAAUCAUCAAAAAAAAUGCACAAAACCUCUUAUAAUCUCACCCAGUGUAGAGAAAACUUUUGACAUUAUUCAUUUUUGUAUGUCAAGAUGAAAUAAAGAUAAUAUUUAGAUCCUC